CUGCUGCCUCCCGUAGGAGUCUGGGCCGUGUCUCAGUCCCAGUGUGGCUGGUCGUCCUCUCAGACCAGCUACUGAUCGUUGCUUUGGUGAGCCGUUACCUCACCAACCGGCUAAUCAGUCAUCGGCCGCUCCGCUCGCGAGAGGCCCUUGCGGGUCCCCCUCUUUCUUCCGUAGAACUCAUGCGGUAUUAGCCAACCUUUCGGCUGGUUGUCCCCCCACGAGCGGACACGUUCCGAUGUAUUACUCACCCGUUCG
rnacentral:rRNA from 1 species